UACGUAGGGUGCAAGCGUUGUCCGGAAUUAUUGGGCGUAAAGAGCUCGUAGGCGGUUUGUCGCGUCUGCCGGUGAAAGUCCGGGGCUCAACUCCGGAUCUGCGGUGGGUACGGGCAGACUAGAGUGAUGUAGGGGAGACUGGAAUUCCUGGUGUAGCGGUGAAAUGCGCAGAUAUCAGGAGGAACACCGAUGGCGAAGGCAGGUCUCUGGGCAUUAACUGACGCUGAGGAGCGAAAGCAUGGGGAGCGAACAGG
rnacentral:rRNA from 1 species